GCCUAUGAAAUCAAGUCUCACAGUUGCGCUCUGUUCGAAUCACGCAGCCAAGGUGGUUGACAUCUUCCUCUCGCCUGUCAUUUUUGUAUUUAAGAUAGAUAAAUCCUUUCUUUGUACAAGACUUAGACAAUAAAUGACCAAAGUACAAGUACAUUGUACCAUAGCAGAACCCUUCCGGGGGCCGUUGUUACCAUAUUACUGUAUAAAAUAAACUCAAUAAUCACUCUUAUUUCGGUAAAGAUGGCUCUUGCUAAGACUUGAUCUCUUGGUGUAUUCCUUAUUUGAGACGCAGAUCGUUUGAAAUUUCAAGGAUAUACUUGCUCUUCCUCCACUGGGCCGCAUCACGGAAUGGCCGAUAUAUUCUAGCUUGGCAAUGUGGAUCUUUUUGCCUGUACCUUAAAGAUGUCAUAGGUUGUCGAAGCAUAAGAUGACUUUGAAAGCAAGUUUCUUGCCAUGGAGAGAGGCCGUGUAAACUUUCUCCACGAUGCAAUAUUACACGUUAGACUCAUAAAAUUGGGAUUCUUCUUUUUUUCUCUUCCUGAAUUUCUUUUCCUGAAUUUGUACCACUGUAGGAGGGAAGCAAACCAGUCAUUGGUCGAUGAGAUGAAAUAGGUUCAUCUUCUCGCACUAGACAGAGGCAAAUCUGUAAGGAGGUUAAAAAUAACCGCCGCUCAUGUCAUCAAAGGAAAAAAAAUCUGCGGAAAAUUUUCCCCUUGAGCUCUUUCAGGUUUCCUGAUUCUUCUGACACUAAUUCGAGAUUAAGGUUCGUUUUACUCUUUGUUGUCAGACGCAAUGAAAAGUAGCCCAUUACAAGGAAUACCAUGCACAGCUUGAUUUAAGGAGAUUCUUAGAAAGUCACUUACAACAGUCAUAACCAUCCUAAACAAUAUAAAAACCCUAAAACACAACUCAUACUGAGGAUCCUAUAUAAGUACAGUUAAUGGUUGAUUGACUCGAGGGCCAUUACUGGUGCGGCAGCUCAAGCCAAGCCAAGCCAAGCCAAGCCAAGUACGCAGCAUCAAUAUGAAUUCCUCAAUUUACUUAUGGUCAGCGCUGCAUUGUCUAGAAACAUGGGAAUUAGGAUAUACAGAUCUUGUUACCAUUUCAAAUUGAUAGCCAAAUCAAGCAGAGCUUCUACUUGGUGUAUUGUUUGUUGCUUCUCCUGCUGCUUCAACCUACUUGCAACAGAUUCAGGGUCCAACCCUAGAGCGUCUUGCCAUUCGCUUUGCUCGGCACGAACCUCUUGUAGCAGUUCAUCAACCUCUCUAACAAAAUCUACCCUCAAAAGAGCAUCAUCUUCGAAUGAGGGUCGAAGUGGCCCUUGAUGCUGCACGAUACAAUUAUUACAACCAUUCAGAAGCGCACCAUCCACGAACACAUCAAUUGACACGAGCAGGAUUACCAAGUUCUAAUUUGCUGAAUUUAGCCCAAAAAAAAAAAAAUAGUUCUAAUUUGAUGAAUCACCAUGCGGUCCAUAACAAACCUUAUUGAUGUCAAGUCCAGCUGGAACCAAAAUGCUAAAGGGAUCCUCCCGUGGAAAGGUAUCCACCAUCAGCUUUCUACAUUCCUUCAGCCAUCCUUCAUAAUCGAAACCAUCAUGCAAAUUCAAAAGCUCGUUGAGCAGCCUCAUGGCAGGAGAGGCCUCCCGUUUCAAAAUUUCAGUCUAAAAUGCAAGAGAAUUUAAACUUAUAAGUUUCUUAGGUCAAAGCAUCAGUAAACACAUAGGUUCAUUUUGGAGCAUAGAGACUUGGAAAAUAUGAAAUAACUCAUUUCAAAGAAAAGGGACCUCAGAAAAACAAAGCAAAACUUUUUUUUUGGUUGACCAAAGCAAACUUGAAAGACUUCUAAAUUGCAAGUAUUCGAAAGAUUACAGCCAAAAUCAAGAGUUUUUACUUUUCAAAGCUACAUGGCUCCAUGGUCUCACAAGUGAUUUUUGGUCUCCCAAAGUUAUCUUUAAGAAAAAUUCAGUAGGAUUUUUAGGUUACACUUAAACCAAUCAACAUGGAUGAGAUGGUCUACAUGAUAAUGCCAACUGGAAUAAGAGGUGGUGAGUGGCUGAGCUGUUUUCUUAUUGGAAGAUGAUAUUGCUAUAAGAGUGUUAGUAUGAGCAAUUCCAAGACAAAAUAUCAAUGGCACCAAGAGCUUUGAAUGAUUAUUUAUCAUUCUGUUGGAAGCACAAGUUGCCAUUUCAAAUUACUUGUGAUAGUGUACCCCUUUCUCAUAAUUUCUUGACCAAAUAUGGAGCUGGAGUCAUCUAAGUACAGAAAAGUGGAGCAUACCUCAACCCUCCUGUAUAAGAGGUCAAGACUUCUAACUGCAUCCUUUUCAUCCUAAAAGAACAAAAUAAUCAUGGAGACAUUAAUAAGGAGAAAAAGAUCACACUGAAAAGGCUAAUCUAUACCAGCUACCAACUUCCUAACCUGUUCCCCUGUCCCCACCUGACUUUCCCACCCACCCAAUUCACCAUCCCAAUACACAUCAUUAGAUAUCACGAAGAUGCAAACUUACAUCACGUCUAGCAAGAUCAAGCCGAUUCCAGAUAACCAUUAAGACAAGUUCUGUCAGUUCUCCUCUCUCGGCAGCCUCCUCGAUUUUCUGAAGAAGGGAGUAAGACGAGUCAGAGUUCAGGCAUGCUUUAAUCACAGAUCUACAACUCCAGCUAACAUUACCAUUUACUGGCAGCAUCAAUGAAAGAUGCAAAAUAUUGGAGGAAAUGGGUUCCGGCAAAGAAAUUGAGCAGAAAGCCAAUUCAUGGAAUUACUCAGGCUAAAUGACUACAUCAAGAAUUUAAGAACUCGGCAAAGAUUUUAAUGGUAGAUAAGACUACUUUUCAUGCAUCAACAAAAUACUUCUAACUUGGUUAUGAUGCGGCCUUGGCUGUACAUCUGCUCAAAACAAUCUGUUACAGUUGAGGGGAAUGUUCUACACAAAUUAGCAAGUAGGCAAGAAUGGUUGGAUAAAAAAUAAUUAUCAAUGUGAUUCAUGCUUAUAAUCGUCCAGAGUCUCCAAACAAUAAAUGAACCCAGAUAACAAACACUAAGAGAACACCAAAGCACCUCUUCAACUUCUUCCUCCGAUCUGAUAAAGCUUGACACUAGUAUCCUUGCCUUUCGAACAUCUUCUUCAGGAUAACCUUUCAACCUCAUUCCAAUUUCACGAUACUCCUCAACCUUUCUUUCCUCUUCUUCGUCUUCCUCCUGUCGCCUGCGAUGUAGCUCCUUCGUCUUCUCCCUUUGACGAGCUUGCCAUUCCUGGCACAGAGAAAAACUUUACAGAUUUAACAGAAAGAGUAAAAGAUAUGGUCGAUAGCAACAUGUUUCCAGUAGCCCCAAGAUGACUAACCUGUUAUCCAUUUAAUAAAACAAUGGCUGUAAAAGAAAUCGGAAAAUAAGAUGAAUCAACCUAUUCCUUCACAAGAUUGCAUCAGCAUGACUAUUUGCAAGCACAUGAACAUGUAAUAGAACUCGAUUGUUAGAAGAGUUCAACCAACUGAAUCUUGAUGGCAGUCUAAGCUUAGCCCGUACCAUCGCAGAAAGCUUUUGGUCCAGCCAAAGACUGUCCUACUCCAACAUGCCUGACCAUGCAAUUCUAGACCUAGAACAUCAGAAUCACUUCUACUUGCGAUUCUGAGCUUUGAAGUGCCUGUCAUUAAGACAUUAUAUUAUUCCCAUCCUAAAGUCUAUAUUAGGUUUCAAGAACUCAAACCUCCAACCUCAUGCUAUAGGAGAAGUAUUCUCAUUCAGCACAAAUUGAUGCCCCCUCCAUUUACAAGGUCAUGAACCCUAAAGAACUUCCUUUCACAAGUUCCAUGUUUUAUAAGAUUAUGCCUUGUUAUUUUUAGAAAGAAAAAUCGCACCUUUCUAUGAAUUCCAUAAAAGAUACAGAGAAUUCAUUUCCAAGGACCAAUCCUUCAUUUAUGCUGACUAUUCCAUGUCCAAAUGAUUACAAGGCCACGGGUUCCAAAUGUCAAUUACCAUACAAGUUAGCUAGCCUUUUAACAGAAAAUCCUCAAUUAUCCUUGCAACAUGAUUUUAGAUUAGCUCAACAGUUUCCCAAUCGUCACUUUGGAUACAUAAUUUACUCAUGCCGGACUUCACGUAGACGACAGACACACAACAAUGAAAACUCCAGUGACAAUCGACGAAGGAGGGAUUCAGAAGACAAGAUGGCAACACGCACAUCGUCAUAGUACUCCUUGGGAAGCCCAUCGAUGAGAGUCUCAUCUUUGCUCGCCAAGCACUUCCUCAAAACUGCCCAUCAAAAUUCAGAACCGAGAAAAGAACUUCAGAAAUGAGUGGUAGUUUUAAGAGCACCGAAGCCUGGGGAGCUGGGGAUACUCAAGGGAAGGACGCGAGAGAACAGACCUACGGAGGAAGAGGAGGAGGAGGAGGUGGGCUUCCGGUUGAAUCGCGAGGUGGGAAAGCUCGAGGCCGAGGGAAGAGACGGUAGACGAGGCGCCCAUGUAAGCAGCAGCACCGCAUUUGCUUCCAUCGACGUUCCAAUCAAUUCCUCCAAUCAAAGUGCGAGAGAGAGAGAGGAGAGAAGGGGUUAAGUGAGGUUUUAGAAAGAAGGGAAAAACAAUUACCAUCCGAAUUAAAGAAAUUCUGGAUUUUUUUUUAAGAGUGAUUUUAUUAUUCAAAAGGAAAAGAGAUAAGAAAGAUUAUCCAAAUUGGAGGUUUUAUACUGAAACCCCCCCCUCUCUCUCAUAAUAGCCGCUCGCAGUUCCAUAUUACGUUUGCAAUUUUGCAAUGAUUAUUCACUUUUAAAUAGAUAGAUAAGAAGCAUGUCCGUUUAAUUAUCGGAUCUGUGUCUAACCAUCAAAGGUACCGUGUUAAAAUUGUCCUUUUAUAAGCUAUAACUAGGUCACGAACGUCAAUGGCGGUUAAAACUCAAUGCGAAAAGAGAAGUUGUUCUGUACCCAACAUUGCUGGACUUGGCUGUGGCAAUGCCGGACAACCAGCAAUAUGAAGCGUUCUUUACUUCUUGGAGAAAAAGGAACUCAUCCUAGUUAAGAAGGCAACAUAGAUCACAAAAUUGUUUCUUUUGAAAUCCUUUUAUGCAAGUUAAUUGAAUUAAGUGACGAUGGAGCGAGCUUCCUAUGUUAGUUCAGAGCAAGGUGAAGUACGGAAUACUCGACGGCUCGUUUUUCACACGACCUGGGAAUUACAUGGAAAUGGAAAGUACAAGCAAGUUCCAAGGGUCAAUCCUUCACUUACGCCAAAUUUCUCAUUUUAAAUGAUUUCAAGGCCACGGUUCCGGAAGUCGUGGUACGACACAAGUUAGCUAGCCUUUUACAGAAAAUCCUCAAUUAUCUUUGCAACAGGAUAUUAGAUUAGCUCGAUAGUUUUCCAAUCAUUAUUUCGGGGGAAAAUUGUCCAAAAAGUCCUAUACCUAUUGCACUUUUACCAAUUUAGUCCUAAACGUUUUUACUUCUAGCCGAUUCAGUCUAUUUGGCCAAUUUUGGCAGAAAAAUGAUGACAUGGACACCGGCAGUGCCACAUUGGACCGCUGGCACUGACGUGGACAAUUUUUAAUAAAUAUUUUAAUUUUUUUGUGAAUUUUUAUUAUUUUUUUAAUGUUUUUUCCUUUUUUUCUUUUCUUUCAUUUCUUUUUGGUUUUUUUCGUUCCUUUUUCGGUGGUUGGCCACCGGUCACAGUCGACGGCCGGCCACCAGCCAUCGUGAACUCAGGCCCGAACCAUGUCUUUGUCGCUGUCGCCGUCGCCGCUGUCGUUGUCUUCGUCCCUCCAUCUCUUCUGCUCGGGUCCUCCCGCCUCGCCCUCGUCGUCCCUCCAUCUCUUCUGCUCAAGUCCUCCCGCCUCGCCCCUGGCUCGCUCGACUUGCCGUCGAGAAUCAACAGCGUUAGUAGGGUGGAAGGACCGUUGUCAUCUUCUCGAUCGUCUAUGCCAUGCCAGCUAGGGGCGAGGGUCGGCCUCGCCAAAUCUGGUUUGGGCGAGGCUGACGCUCGCUUGGGCGAGGGCUCCCCUCGGCAAGGUCGAUGCUCGCUUGGGCGAGGGCUCCCUUCGCUAGAUUUGGCAAGGUCAGCUCUCGCUCAAGCCAGGGCGGCCUCGCUCGGCAUUGCCAUCGCUCGGCCGCCUUGGCCUGGGUGAGGGUCAGUCUUGCCUAGGUGACCUUUGCCGGGCCAUGCUUGGGUGAGGGCUCCCCUCGCCGGAGCUCCUCCUUGCCCGGCUGAGCCUCGCCUGUGGCGGGCGAGGCUAGCCGGUGGGUUGUGGCCGGUGGCCGGUGGCCGGCCAUUGGAAAAGGAAAGAAAAAAGCCAAAAAGAAAAGAAAAAAAAGAAAAAAAAGGAAAAAAAUAUAAAAAGAAAAAAAUUUAAAAAAAAUACUAAAAUAUUAUUAAAAAUUGUCUAUGUCAGUGCCGGCGGUCCAAUGUGGCACCGCUGACGUCCACGUCGGCAUUUUCCAGCCAAAAUUAGUCGGAUGGACUGAAUCGGCCAGAAGUGAAAAGGUUUAUGACUAAAUUGUUAAAGUUAAAAUGUUUACGACUGAAUUGACAAAAUUGUAAUAGGUUUAUAAUUUUUUUGAUAAUUUUCCCUCACUUCGGCUACAUCAUUUACUCAUUCCAGAAUUCAAGUAGACGGCAAAACCAGCAAAGAUUAUCUCAACAAACACUCAAAAAUCAAAACUCCACUCAUCGUCACAGUACUCCUUAGGCAGCCCAUCAACGAGAUUCUCACCUUUGCUCGUCAAGCACUUCCUCAAAACUGCCCAUCGAAAUUCACAACGAAGAAAGUACAGAAUGAGUGAACGUUUUAUCAGCACUGAACCUCCGAACUCGAUAUUCGAGCGAAGGACGCGAUAGAACAGACCAACGGAGGGGAAUCGCCAGAUGGGAAAGCUCGAGACCAAGGGAAGAGAUGGAAGACAACGAGCAAGUGUAAGCAGAACCGCAUUUGCCUCCAUUGUCGUUCAAUCUAUUCCUCGAAUUGAAGUGAUUUUGAGAGAGAGAGAGAGAGAGAGAGACGGCUGAAGUGAGGUUUUACAAUGGGUUCAGAAAGAAGGGACAAACAAUAUAAUUGAAGUCCUCGAUUUCGAAACGAGUGAUUAUUUCAAAGGAAAAAUGCUCAUCGUCCCUUUUUUUGCCAUCAAGCCUCUAUAUUACGUUCACUAUGACAAGUUUGGAGUAAUAACGAUACAGAAACUUUUUUUAGGUAUUAGUGUUACAAUAAUUUAAUAUUAUGAAUGACAUAAAAAAAUGAAUAUAUGAAUCAUUAUAGUGGGUAUAAUUUAAGGUUUUUAGUGAUAUUAAAAAUAGGGACUUUAGUCAAAGAAAUGCCGUCUACUGACAGUUGCAGAAUAACGGGACAACAAAUGAUAAGGCCAUACGCACCUUCAACGGGUUUUGAUAUAUAAACGAACAUUUAGGGGAACAAAAAAAGAACAUAAACGCGUUUGGUAAAACUUUUAUUCCCGAAAACAAAAGAAUAGAUUUUUGUUAUCAGGAAUAGAUUUGGAACAAAAACAAGUAGAAAAGUCAUUUCUUGUUCCUGGAAACAAUUCCAAGAAACACUUCUUUUUUCUUCUCCCUUUUCUUCUUUUUUUUUCUUUCCUUCUUCUUCCUGUGGCCGGCGACCUCACUGAUAUUGAUGAGUUUUAUUUAUUUAUUUGUUUAUUUAUUUUGUUUCCUUUACUGGUAGAAGAUAGAAGUGAAAAAAAAUCUGGCAUUUCCUGCUUACAACGAAAAGAAACUGAAAAUGGCAAAGUCUCGGCCAUGGCCAACUCACUCCGCUGCAAAUCGUCAAUGAUUGCUUGAGACUGGACGACCUAACGAAGCCAUCUCUUUGCGGACAUAAUUCAUGUCAUUUCAGCCAUUGAUCCACAUGGGAGAAAAAUUAAGAUCAAAUCCAGUGUUCAGAGGAAGGCGAAGAUCGCUUGUGCUAGCUUCCCGUGUAAAUCCAGAGUAUGCUGACUGGGAAGCGGAGAAGAAAGAAAACCAACAACAUGGGAGAAAAAAAGGAGAGAGAAAGUACAGGCAGCAAACAAUCUCAUUCUCGGGGAAACUAGCAAACAGGACAAGGGGAGUUUUCUCAAUCCUCCGGCUUAUAGGCGCGAAUGGGUAUUGGACAUUGCCUUCUGUUUUUGUAAAGCCGGAAAGGUCCAUUGUGGUAGGAUAGGUUAUCGCAUCUGUCAACUACUAGAUAACAGUUAUCAUAAGCUACCUGAGAUAGAGAAGGCAAACUCACUAAUGAUCUGCAGAAUAUGAAUUCCAUGGUCCUCAACUUCUUCAACGUCAAGAGAUCAGGCAAACUCACUAGGGAACUGCACCCCAUAAUUCUUAUGCUUUCCAGCGAUUCCAGUUUGAUGAGAUCUUGGAUCUCAACUAGCUUCGGGCAGUUCAACAAGCGCAACCCUCUGAGCUCCUUCAAGCCUGACAGACAGGAUAACUUCCCAAGAGGUGUGCAGUUUGACAGAGUCAGUUCCCACAGAUUCUCCAGUUGUCCAAACCGAUUGAGGGGAAUUUCUUUCAUCCAUGAUUUGCAUAGCUCGAGACUUGACAAAUUUUUCAAGUUGGAACGGCAUGAGAAUUCUGCUAAUGAAUUGAAGUUUAUAAGCUUCAACAUGGACAGUGUUGAAGGAAGCAGCUGAGUGAGGGACUGCAUGUCAAAACAAGACAGAACUAGUUGCUCAAGGACAGGAAGGGAAGCUAACUCGGUCGGUGGAGCAAUGAUGCUUUUAUGUACCAGUUUCAGCGUCUCCAGUCUAGACAUCCUCCCAACCCACUUUAGGUUUGGAGCUUGGACAAAAUCAGCGUCCCGUAGGUUGGAAGGAGAUUCCUCAAUGGAGUCAGAUACAAUUAGAUUGACUAAAUUGGUCAGGUUUGAGAGGUUUGGGACUGUCUUCAGUGAGCAAGACUCGACAUACAGGUUAAUCAAACUGGGGGGAAGAUUUGGGAUUUGUGUAAGCUCAUGGCAACCUUCCAGGUGAAGUUCCUGGAGAGGAAGCUGGUAGAUUGUUGUUGGCACAGAUCGAAUGCCAGUAUGAGAUAAGUUCAGGAUUUUCAGAAAGGAUAGAUUACCAAUUUCACUGGGAAUAUCUCCCUCUAAAUUCACACAGUUUUCUGCAUGAAAUUCUUCAAGCCUCUCCACCUUGCCUAUAGACUCUGGGAUCCUCCUUAAAUCACUAUGACCUAUCUUCAUCACUUUCAACUUCCUCAUGUUUCCAAUUGAAUCAGGUAAUUCUAUUGUUUCCGUAUGAGACAAAUCCAACUCAACAAGCGAUUGCAAUCUUCCAAUUGAGUCUGGAAGCUUUCUUAGCUUACAACAUCUGGACAAAAACAAGCUUUUGAGUUUCUUUAGCUUUCCAAUCGAGUUUGGAAGUUCCCUAAUUCCAACACUUUCCACCUCUAGCCUUGUCAAAGACUCUAGAUUACCAAUUGAUUCGUCAAUUUCAACCAACCUUUGGCAACCUCGUACAGUCAAUAUUUCCAAUGCCCUGAGGGCAGAGAGGUCGGGCAAUCUAGUUAAGUGGCUGCAUUCUUCAAAUUCCAGAAGUCUCAACUUAGAUGAUUUCUGUUGAUGAAGAGGAUAUCAGAAGGGGAAUGAGCAAUAGCAGGCGUGUUUGAUUAAACAAUAAAAAAAAGAAAAAAAAGAUGCAUGCGCUCUUCGUACCAUGAAUUGGUGCCAUCCAGGCCAAUUAUCUUCAAGUUUACUACCAGAAAGCUUGAGAACGGUUAGAUUUCUUGCAAAGAAAUUGGUCGCUCUAAAGUGUUGAGGCAACUUAUUCCAAGAUAGCCAUCUCAAUUCUGGCAAAAGACCAUCAAAAUCUCCAACGAAGUCUACCCGUUCAAGAAAAAGAAACUUUAGGUUUGAUAGAGAAGCAAAGUCUUGACGUGUGAGCAUCUCUACCUCAGAGAAUUGAAGCCUAAGUGAUUCCACAUUGCUAUUGCUCCAGUAAUCAACCUUGCAAAGAUAGCACGCAUCAGUGAAUUUUAACAGCAAACAGAGAAACUUGUGCAUACGGAGAGCAGUAAACUCUUCCUAUGACCAGAAUUCUAUCGACUUUUUUACCAUAAUUAUAUCCAUAAUUUUACCUGUUCACGAAGGCAUUCGUCAGGUUUCCACAACCUGCUUUGACUUCCUGGAUUCAGAUGAUUUUCCUCUCGAACAAUUUCCCUUCCAAAAUCUCUGAUCAGGUCAUGCAUCCGAAGAAUAUUCUGAUGGUCUAUCUUCAACAGAGACAUUUCCCUGAGAGUAGCAAGUCCACUUUCAGGGGAAUAACCACAAUCUUUCCACGCAUAUUUUGCAGAUGUGCUCUCUUCGCCGUUAAAAAAGCAUGCAAUGUCCAAGUAAAUUCGCUUCUCCUCCAAGCUUAAUGCCUCGUAACUUAUCCUUAACGUCUCUUGGACUCUCCUAUCAGGUACUUUCAUUAAACGCUCUAAUGUUUCUGCCCAUACCUCAGGGCUUUUGCCUCGGAGGAAAGAACCUGACGCUUCAAGAGCCAAAGGAAUUCUUCCGGUACUAGCCACUAUUUCAUUGGAAAGAGUUUCGAGAUCAUCUGGGGGUAGGGUUUCUCUGAAGGCAUGCUUACUGAAAAGUUGAAGAGCAUGCCAAGGAUCCAUCUCCAUCAUCUCAUAAGCAAUCUUCUCUUUAGGAAGAAAUGCCAGAAGACCCACAUUCCUGGUUGUGAUAAUAACCCUGCUUCCUGGGCCAAGCCAGUCACCGUUGCCCUUCAGUUUCUUGAGCUGCUCUAGCUCAUCCAUAUCGUCAGAACAAUGAGGACCCUCUUGUUGCGGAAUUUUUCUUGUAUCAAGUUGGUACCAUCGUUGCCAUCAUUGACAUCUGUGGACCACUUCAGGAUAUCAGAUAAUAGCUGUUUCUGCAAGCUUACGAUGCCACCGUUUAGUGAAGUUUCUCGGAUGUCUGAAAGGAAGCUGCAACCAUCAAACAGAGAAGAUAUCUCGUUGUAAACCGCCAUGGCAAGAGUUGUUUUGCCGAUUCCUCCCAUCCCAUGCACAACAAGAAAUCGUACGUCCGGGGAGCCGCAGUCCAACAACUGCAUCACGUCUCUGACUCGACCAUCAAUUCCAACUAAAUGAUCAGGAAGAACCUUUUGUCUCUUCUUCAGCUUAAUAGAAAGCUCUCGAACAAGAUCUUUAACAAGUUUACCAAGCCUGCCAUGCAUAAUAAAUCAUCGUCUUAGAAGAAAAGAGGGGCAACUAUAUCAGCAAUAUACGAGCAUAUCUAGGAAUCUGGAGCAUCCCUAACAGCAUCAUCUCCCUCUCUCGUACUCAUGACAGUGAUCCAGCAAAGAAUUUCUCAUGGCUUCUACAUAUUCUUAAAGGAAAAGAGUUAGGAUAAACCAUUCAACUGAAGGUGUUGCAAUUAACCAUCUACCCAAUGAAUUUGUUCGGUUGAUAAUUAGCAAAGCGAACCGUGUUGGCACGAUAGACACUAGUGCUUUUUGAAUCUCAGAUAUUGCACAAAACAGCAACAAUCUGAAACUAGCUCAAAUUUCAUUUCCAGCAAAGCAUAUGCAGAAGCAAUAAAUUGUCUCUACCAAACCUUUGGAUAUCAUACCCAACGGGCCAACGACCAUGCUAUGGAACCUUAAAUUGCCAAUCAUAAUUAGCCCUUCUAAGCAUAUUUCGGAUGGCAAUCUAUGUAUAUAGAUAAGUUUGGUGGGGAGAGAGAGAGUUUAAAGAAAGGGUGUAAUGGCCAUUAAAGUUUCUUCUUUUACUUACCGUGCCUCUCGUGCGUCACAUCCUUUGAGAUCUGCGACCUCCGUUAGAGCCUUUCUCCACUCUCGCACCGUCUCCUUGUCGUAACGCCCCUCGUGCUUGAGCAGGGCCUCCUGGUACGACCCCGUCCUGAGCCUGACGUCCGAAGGACUCACGUCGUAGAAGAUGGGCACGAUUUCUCGUCCCGCGGAUUCUCUCUGGCACUUCACCAUGCGCGCGAGCUCCUGGAGGCACCACGCGCUGGACGCGUAGCCUGCCGAGAAGAUCGGCAAGUGGAUCCUCGAGUCGUCGAUCGCGCGCUCGAUCCCGGGUCCAAUAAUCUCGCCUGCGCGAAGCUCUUCCUCGUCUCUGAAGACUGAGAAUCCGGCGCCGACUAAGCUUUCGUAGAGGUAAUCCGCAAACGUGCGGCGAGUGUCGGGACCUCGGAAGCUUAAGAACACGUCGUACUUGUAGCCGGACGUCGAGGCGCCGUCCGCGAAAUCUGAUCGCUCUCGCUUUUGAGACGACGACGCGCCGGACGAGCCCGACGUCGACGCACCGUCCGCGAAAUCUGAUCGCUCUCGCUUUCGAGACGACGACGCGCCGGACGAGCCCGACGUCAACGCACCGUCCGCGAAACCUGAUCGCUUUCGCUUUCGAGACGACGACGCGCCGGACUUGCCCGACGUCGACGCGCCGUCCGCGAAACCUGAUCGCUUUCGCUUUCGCUUUCGCUUUCGAGACGACAUUGUGAACGAGGAAGAAGAAGAGGAGGCGAAACUGGAAAGGCAGAAAAACAACAAAUUUCUCUCGUUGGGUGGUGCGAGAAAGAAACCCAGAAUAUAAAAGGAAAAAAAAAAGGAUAUGGUUUGCAAUCGAAGAGAAGUGACUUUUCUCGACGCGCGCUUCGUCGCAUGUGUAUUUGUAGAUGAGCGAUCGGUGCCUUUCCUCGAAAUUUCGUUCCACCCGCAGCGCAACGGCUACAUCAAAAUCGACAGACCCGUGGACAAAUUACAUAGGAUCGGUUUAUGCCACUUUUUCAUUUUGAUCAAAUUAAAACAUUCUCAUCAUAAGUUGUUUAUCCUUUCCGACCAUUUCGAUUAUAUCCUUUCCGAUCAUUUCGAGGAAAUUGCACGGCUAUAUAAUUCAUCGGAAAAAAGGCAUGAUCAGCUACUUUCAUUAUUUCUGCCUUGUGUAAUAUCUUGCUACAUUACUUCGAAAACAUCCAACAUAUUUUUGAACCACACGAAAUAAGUUCGACCCUGAUCAUUGAUCAAGUAAAUCUGACUCGGAUACAUCUAGUUAACAGUAUACACUACAAAUAAUCCCACCCCUACUUCUUGUGUACACCAUACGGUAACUCUUCAACUUUUAUAGGUGACUUCUGCGAAAUUAUCUUUGGGCUCCGCCAGUCCUGGAAACACGUCGCAACUCCGUCUUCCCGUUGCUCUGUCGUUGUGAUUUCGAGGUAAUUGCCUUCCGCAUGGGACUGACACAGGCACCACCGAAAGUUGCCGUGGUGAUUUCGAGGUAAUUGCCUUCCCCUCCAUCUGUACAAGAACGCGUUCCGUUGCGCAUGGAAAGGAACUUCCGAGGUAAUGGCAGCGAAAGUGCGUCGCUCGCCCGAUGGGCUUUUCGUAUGAAUGAACGCAGGGAACCAUCCUUACCUCAAACCACACAAAACGAGUAAAAAUUUGUGGUUCCUCUUCCUCUCCUGUUUCGUCUGCUCUUCUUCUUCCUCCUUGUUGGAGAUUGUCGGAUUCUCAAAAUCGGAUUCAACACUAAAUCAAACCCCUAAAAUGAAUGCGGAAGACGAGCCCAAAAAUAACAUGUAUUACCGAUCGAAAGUUACACUACAUAAUCGAGCGUACCUUACUGUCCAUAGAUUAAACACCAACGUUGAAGUUCGAGGAAGAAUCUGAUCCUGGUCUACCAAGGAGCCUACUCUUGGUUCAAAGGGGGGCGAGUUACGUUGGUUUUUGGGAGAGGAAGAAAAGAAAAGCAUACGUUUUUUCCAAAAGGUACGUUCUCUUUUUCUUUUCUCUCCUUAAAUACGUCUUUUCCAAAAGACGUGUCCCUUCAGCAAAAGACGUCCCCCAAAAGUUACAACUUUUCAACGUAUCUCUCCAUCCAUGGGCCCUAAUUUUGUGGGCCCGGCUUUUAGGCUCAAUAUGAGCGGACAGGCCUUAAGCCCAUCAUCAUAUAUAAAUAAAUAAAAACAUCAUCUCCCAUUUGCACAUGGUGAACCCAAUAGAAUCCUCUUUACCUCUCUUCAACAUUCAUACCAGUGAAUAAUCCGUGCGACCAGCAUACUUUGAGAGCUCGUUGCCAUACAUCUGUUAGGAAUAUAUAGCAGCUCAUAAUGUGCAUCACAGAUUUAGUAUGCAGUACCCUAGAUCGAUCACAUUUAUAUCUCUAUUGAUCUCUUUUAAAUAAUGAUAUAUAUAUAUAUAUAUUGUAUUCACAAUUAUGAUUAUCCCAAAGACGCCAUAAUUGGUCGACCAGUGAAUACAAAACUUAGAAUGUAUUCUCCAUAUUCGAUCUUCCUUUUUCCUUCAAACUCUCAAUUUCAGUUAAGCUUGCUUUUCUAGAAAUGUCUCAUUAGAUCGAAUUAACUCAUGACCAUUAGCAACAUCCUAUAGCAAACACUAAAUAGAAAUAUUGAGAAUAAGUAAAAGUCAUGAGGGCACUUAAAAUUGAGGAACUCUUUUUCUCAAGAGUCUCAUACGGCAUAAAAGUUGAGAUCAAACUUUUGUCACUCUUAUUGGUCGUUACAUACAUACGUAAUAUGAAAUACGUAUUACGGUAUUAACUCAUUUCCCAUGAAGCGUAUGUCUACACUUUCAAUACCGUACAGAUGAUAGUUCAGACAUACCCAAUGUCUAACUUGAGUUCACAUAUCUACUCAUUUACAAAAUUCAUCAGAACUCACAUCUGACAUCUUAGACAGAUAAAGUAAAAUAUGUGGGGUAUUUUACUUUCGGACAUAAUACAUCCAUUUGAUAUAACUCAAGAUCCAUACUAGCCACUAUUGCCAGAAUAAUGCGAAUCGAGGUAAAUCUUACUACAGGAGAAAAUGUUUCUUCAUAAUCAAUUCAUUCUUGUUGAUUAUACUCUUUCGCCACAAGACGAGCCUUAUACCUUUCUAUCGAGCCAUCAGCUUUUCGCUUUAUUUUGAGAACCCACUUGUUCCCAAUAGUUUUUGUCCAUUUGGAAGAUCAACCAGUUCCCAAACUUGGUUUGACUUCAUUGACUCAAUCUCCUCUUCCAUUGUAUGAAUCCAUUUUUCCUUAUUAGGGCAAUUUAGAGCCUCAUUAAUAUUUCUUGGUUCAUUCUCAUCUUGCGGAGCAAUCAUAAAAGUUUUCCCUUCAAUGUCAAAACAUCGACGGGGAAUAUUUUUGUGACUUGUUCGCCGUAUGGGAGAUUGUACACUUUGCACAUCAUUCCCCAUCAUGCUCCCACUAGAAUUAGAUAAUGAUGAUGUCGUCUCAUCAUGUGGUUGUAAUUGAGAAUGAGUUGAGUUCAAUUUAUCACUUCUCAUAUUACUCCCACUUGGACGAACUUCACUAAUAUCAUUAUCUUGAUCUAAGGUUUCAAAUAUGGAGUAAUCUUCACCUGUUUCGUCCUUCUUAGGAAAUUCAUUAUUUAAGAAUGUGACAUCCUGUAAUUCAAAUUUAGUUAUACUUCCACUUUCCUGCUCACCUAUGAACACAUACCCUUUCGAGUGUUCGGAGUAUCUUAUGAAAAUACUCUGCUUUCCUCUGGGACGCAAUUUCCCAAACUUGUGAGAGGACUCAUGAGUAUAGGCAGCACAACCCCAUGGCUUAAGAAAACUUAAGUCCGGUUUUUUACCUAUUCAUAACUCAUAUGGAGUGGAAGUAACUGAUUUGGAAGGCACUCGGUUAAGUAUAUAGGCAGCAGUUAACAACGCAUUACUCCAAAAAGUGAUAGGUAAGUUAGUAUGCGCCAUCAUGGACCUAACUAUUUCUAGUAGGGUUCUGUUUCUUCUUUCCGCAAUACCAUUUUGUUGAUGAGUAUAUGGAAUAGACAACUGUCUUUCCAUUCCUUUUUCAUCACAUAAUUUUCUGAACUCAUCCGAUAAAUAUUCCUGACCUUGAUCGGAUCUUAACACUUUUAUUUUCUUGUCUAAUUGAUUUUCUACCAAGUUCAUAAACCUUUUGAAAGAACUCAAUGCUUCAGAUUUAUGAGAAAUCAAAUAGACAUAUCCGAAUCGAGUAUAAUCAUCUAUAAAAGUAAUGAAAUAAACAGCCCCAUGCAUUCCUCUCACAUUCAUUGGACCACAUACGUCAGAAUUGAUUAAAUGCAAAGGAAAUUCGGCUAUUUUAUUUUUUCAAAAUGGUUUCCUUGUCGUUUUCCCUUCUAGGCAACGCUCACAUAUGGGCAAAUCGGCUUUUUCAAUGUUGCCCAACAAGCCCUUUUUGGCUAGUCUAUUUAUACGUUGUUGGCCAAUAUGAACAAGUCUAGCAUGCCACACAUUCACAUCAUUAUCAUAUGAAUUAUGAGACGUGAGAAGGGAAUAACAAACAUUUGCAUUAACAUAGUCAAUAUCUAAUACAAUGAAACCAUCCAGAAAAUAACCAUAACCAUAGUAAUUUGUAUCCAAAAACAAAUCCACACCUCUAUUAUGGAAGUUCAUAUUAAAACCUAGCUUGACCAACACUAAAAUAGACACUAAAUUCUGACGAAUCUACGGAGCAUACAAUACAUCAUGUAGGAACAAAGUGCGUCCACCACGCAUGUUCAGUUGGCAGGUGCCAAUUCAUUUUAUUUCAACUCUGGAGUUGUUUCCCACAUAGAUCCACUUAAUUCCAGUUGUACUCGUCAGAAUUCCACGAAGGAUUCUCUAUCCUUCGCUACAUGGUCUGUCACUCCUGAAUCUACCGUCCACAAAGGAUUAUACUCAGUUAAGAAUACAGAACUCGACACAUAAGCAAAGUUCUGAAAAGUACAAGGGAUGUAUACCUUCUUUGGCUCACGACAGUCGCGAGUAUAGUGACCCUUCUUGUCACAAUUAUAACACUUCACCCUUGUAAACUUCUUCAUUCGAGGACGCUUUCCUCUUUUAUGUUGGUUAAACUUAGGUUUCUUCCUUGAAGGACCUGUUUCCUUGCCUUUCCCUUUAUUAAACCAGUUAGGACGUUUGCGCUUGGAGCUCGAAGCUCCAUGUGAGCUAGAACCAGCAUGAUAGAAUCCAUCACAAUUUUCCUAUAUGAAGCGGCUUUGUUGACAUCCCAUAUGCGAUUCAACACUCAUUGCCAUUCUUGUGGAAGAGUGUUCAUGAAAAAUCGCACCAUCUCAAACUGUGGCAUGAGACGACCAUUCCAUAUGACCUUUUGAAUUUUCCCGUUGACUUCAAUAACAUGAUCAAUUAAGUCACCACUCUCCCAUCGAUGAUUAGUCAGUUCAGCUAUCAACUUAGAAAGCCUUUCCUUUUGUUCAUCGGUAAUUGCGCAAACAGGUGUGCGCAACCUAAGGGGAGGCAUUGUUUUUGCAACAAAUGCAUAACAAAUAAGGGAUUACAUAUAAUCCACAUAGAUUUAAUUGGAAAAAGAAACACAUUCUUUUCCUUUGUUUUUUGUCAACGAUCAACGGUCAAGUCAAUGGUCAACGGUCGGAGGGUCGGGCCGGUCGGACUGGUCGGACCGGACAGCUCGGUCAGGCCGGUGGGCAAAUCGAUCGGCACGUGUCGCACGCUUGCGCGACACGCGCUAGGCUUCCACGCGUGCGUCGCACGCGCCUUCAGCCGAAACGGCGCGUGCGUUGAAUGCGUCGAUGACCCCCGUUCGUUCCGGCGGCGCGUGGCGGCGCGUCUGGUGGCGAUCCGCCACUCGUUUUUCUCGUCUCGAUGAGGGCUUCGAUCCUACGCUUUUAGAAAAAAAGUUUCGACUUACAGAAAACAAAAAAAAAACGGGGCGAACAGAAUCGGUGUCGGGAUUUUUCUGCCCCUUAUCGGUGUCGACUAAUUUUUCACAAAAAAUUAAUUAAAAAAUCAUUCAUAAACAUGAAAGGGGUCGGGAAAACAUGAACUAGGGCUCUGAUACCAAUGUUGGGGAUUGUCGGAUUUCCAAAAUCGGAUUCGACACUAAAUCGAACCCCUAAAACGAAUACAGAAGACGAGCCUAGAAAUAACAUGUAUCACCGAUCGAAAGUUACACUACAUAAUCAAGCGUACCUUACUGUCCACAGAUUAAACACCAACGUUGAAGUUCGAGGAAGAAUCUGAUCCCGGUCUACCAAGGAGCCUACUGUUGGUUCAAAGGGGGGCGAGUUACGUUGGUUUUUGGGAGAGGGAGAAAAGAAAAGCGUACAUUUUUUUUUCCAAAAGAUACGUUCUCUUUUUCUUUUCUCCCUUAAAUACGUCUUCUCCAAAAGACGUGUCCCUUCAGCAAAAGACGUCCCCCCAAAAGUUACAACUCUUCAACGUAUCCCUCCAUCCAUGGGUCCUAAUUUUGUGGGCCGGGCUUUUAGGCCGAACAUGGGCGGACGGGCCUUAAGCCAAUCAUCAUAUAUAAAUAAAUAAAAACAUCACUCCUCAUCGUUUACAAUGUCGUCUAACCGAAGGGAAGCAAAGGCGUGAAUUGCCACGAUUUCCAUGCCCGUCACGUUGAUGCCGGGCUACAAGUACAACAUAUUCUUGAGCUUCCGAGAGCGUGACACUUGCUACACGAUCAUGUAUUUUACUACUAUCCAUAUCAUAUUUGAACCGAACCCAUGCAAUGUGCCAUUUGAACAUUCAAAAUUUUGCGCUCCAUCGUAUAGCGGAACCGAUAACGAUAAUUAGUAUAGCACAUUCAUAUAUAUAUUGAUUCACUUAUUGGGACAAUUCUUUAAACUCAUGUCCUAAUUUAGUUAUGUGACAUUCGUAGCUCUCAAUAAUUGAGUAAUUACUUCAUUGUUGCUUUCGUUUUGGGUGCAUCUUUCUUAAUGUUAGUGAAAUUUUUUUAUUGAAUGAGCAGGAGUGGAGUACGUGGACAUGAACAUAGAUGAGCAAUUGGUGGAGGUCGGGGGAGACGUGGAUCCGAAGGUGAUCAAGAAAGCAAUUGAGCGAAGAGUUCGAAAGAAAGCAUUGCUUGUCAGGUAAUACAAAUACAAAUGAGGGACGAAAAUGAUAAAAAAAAAGAAAAAAGAAGAAAAAAGAAAAAAAGGGUCUCAGUUCCUAGAAAAAGUAAUAGCGACGACAGCAUCAACAUUACCUAUUAGUGAUAGAGAUUCUUAUUUUUCUUUUAAUGCUUUGUGCGGUAUGGAAUACAGGCAAAAGGGUGCGCGCUUUGCGAGUUAAAAAGCAAUAUCCGGAAAUUUGAUCGAUGGAGGAAACUGUAAAUUUAUAUUUUUGCAUACGUAAGAAGGAUUAACUUGGGUCUGAUCAUAAACUCCUAGAUGCGUAAGCAUUUCUCACAAUGUUCUUAAAGUGAAAGAUGGCGGCUCCAAGUGGCUCUCCAAGUGGCUCGUGCUCUAUCAAUCCUCACAAUUUAAGCGAAGAAAUCCUCCGACUUUUUCAAAACAAAAGAUAGUGGGAAAAGUACCAAAAAAGUCAUAAAUCUGUUGUAUUGGUACAAAUUCAGUCUUAAACUUUUCAAUUAGAUCAAUUUAGUCAUAAACCUUUUAAUAUUGGUACCAAUUCAGUCCAUCCGGCUAAUUUUGGCCAGCUAGCGCUGACAAGGACGUUGGCCGGUGACCGGACGUUGAUGUGACAAUUUUUAUGAUUUUUUUAUUAUUUUUUGAAUUUUUUUUGAAUUUUUUUCUUUUUCCUUUUCUUUUUCGGCGGUGGCCGGCGAGCCUCCGAUGAGGCUCACCGGCCACUGGGUGAGGGCCGUGAAGCCCUCGCUUGCCACCAGUGAGGGUCACGGCCCUCGCCUGACCUCUCCCAGGUCGCUGACGAGGCGGCUUUGCUCGGAUCUGGGCUAGGCUAGCCUCGCCCAGGCCUUGCCGCGAGCGAAGGCGGCCUCGCCCGCGAUUGGUGAGGGGGAGAGAGGGCGUAUGGAUUUGAGGAAAGAGAUGGUGGCCUGGCGAGUGUCGAGAGCGGAGCUCCAGUCCAAGGCGGUGGCAAUGGCGCGGGCUAAGUUGCCGGCCACGACGUUCGUGUCCCCCAUCACUUCCCCCGAUCAAGCAACCACCACCUGCUCUCCUCCAAUUUGCGGCGAGAAGAAGGGGGAAGUUCUCUCGAUUUGAUUGGGGCUUUCUGCCGUUUCCCGAAGCUUCUGCGGGAGGUGGUGGGUUCAGCAGAGGUGCUCGAGAGAGAGAGAAGUAAUGGGUUUUGUGGGUUCGCUUCGCAGGAUGGAAAAAUCCGAGCUUUGCGCUGCACUGCGCUUCCAGCUUCGCUGGUAGUGAAGGCGGCCAUCGCCAAGGCGGAGGCGAGGGAUGAGGGUCGCGACCCUCGUCGGUGGCUAGCGAGGGCUGAGGGCCACGACCCUCAUCGGUGGCUGGUGAGGGCUUUGCGGCCCUCGCCUUCGCCCUAGCAAUGGCCACCAUGGCCUCGCCAGCCGCGGGCGAGGCCGCCUUCGCCCGCGGCAAGGCUUGGGUGAGGCCGACCUCGCCUAGAUUCGAGCGAAGCUGCCCAGGAGAGGCCAGGCGAGGCCCGCGACCCUCGCUGGCGGUAGGCAAGGGCUUUGCGGCCCUCACCUAGUGGCCGGCAAGCCUCACUGGAGGCUUGCCAGCCAUCGCCAGAAAAGAAAAGGAAUAAGAAAAAAAAUCAAUAAAAAAUUAAUACAAAUUUCAAAAAAAAAAAAAAUCAUAAAAAUUGCAAUGUCAAUGUCCGGCCACCGACCGAUGUCCACGUCAAUGCCGGCCGGUCAAAAUUGGCUGAAUGGACUGAAUUGGUACCAAUAUUAAAAGGUUUAGGACUAAAUUGGUCCAAUUGAAAAGUUUAGGAUUGAAUUGGUACCAAUGCAAUAGAUUUAGAACUUUUUUGGUACUUUUCCCAAAGAUAGUUGGUGCCUGAGUAAUUUCUCUGCACGUUAGAUGAUAAUGAUAACUAGAGGGGGUACCAAUGUUUCAUGAAAUUGCUUCGUCUGAGAUGCUUUUACACGAGAUGUUAUGAUCCUUUUCCGAGUUCAGCUGUCCUAACAAUACAAUUGCAAUAUCUUAUUGCUGUGAAGCUUUUAGCUUAUACUUAUUAUAGAUGCUUCCUAUUACUUAGGCGCAGUUUUCUGGAUUUUCUUAUUGAUAGAUCUGCAUCAUCACUGAAUUCUGAGCUGUGGUGGCUUUUUUUUUUUUUUUUAAAUUUUAUUAUUAUCAAAAACAGCAUUUUAUUCUGCAUUCAUUAGCUUUUAAAAUUUUGGAAGUGACAAUAUAUUGGAUGUUAUUUUGGUGCAUUUAGCUGUGCUCAACAUGCCAAUGGUUCUUUACAUACUAUAAACACUUAACCUUCUAUGCUUGUGAUUUCAAGGAAGCUUGCAGACAAGGUGGCCUCUCAUGGAUUCUAUGUGGAGGUUCCAGGCUUCAUUUAUGGAGAUCCCUAUGUCCCUGACAAUCCAAUUGAAGUCUGGAGACAAUCUCAUCGAACUAUAUGCUUCGAUAUUCAGUUCAAGUCUCUUAUCUGUUUAAGGACUUUCUAUACCUUAUGGAUUCUAUGUGGUGGCAGGUUGGUUUCAAAAAGCACAAGUUUACCAAAGAAGCACAAAAAAUGUUGAUGUCAAUUGACUAGGACAUCAACAUGCCCCUCCGAUUGUCUAUAUUAUGUCUCAAGGACUCAAACCUCAUGCUUUAGAAAAAGUAUUCUCCUUCGGCGCACAUCGAUGCCACCUUCUAUUUACAAAGUCCUCGACCCUAAAGAACUUCCUUUCACAAGUUCCAUUUUUUUUAUUUAUGGGUUUCAAGAUUAUGCUUCGUCAUUUUUAGAAAGAAAAAUCGCACCUUUGUAUGAAUUCCAUAAAAGAAGUACAGAGAAUUUAUUUCCGAGGAGCAAUCCUUCAUUUAUGCCAACUGUUUCAUGUCAAGCACAACACAAGUCAGCAAUUGAUCUGAUUCAGGACCUUUCGAUAUGUUUUGACUCUAUCUAUAUAGAAUAUAUAUAUUUAAUUUUCAAUCGAUAUCGAUAUAUAGUAUUAUACUACAAACAUAUCAAUAUAAAUAAUAUCAAUUCGGUCCUUAGAUUUAUUGAUGAUCCUCGAGGAGCCGUAUGAGGUGAAAAUCUCACGUACGGUUCUGAAAUAGCAAUGGGAACAAUGAUGUUAUCAUCGAUUAUGAUUAUCUAACAGUUCGAGUACAGUUGAUAUAGUUGAGGCCUAAUCCAAAUAUGGUUUUUGGGGAUGGAAUUUGUGGCGUCAACGUAUAGGGUUUUUCAUUUUUAUAAUUUCUUCCCUAGCAGAAUGUGAGAGAUUACCUUUCGAUUUACCAAAAGCAGAGUCUAUUAACAGAAAACCCUCAAUUAUUUUUGCAACAAGGUUUUAGAUUAGCUCAAUAGUUUCCCAAUCAUCGCUUCAGAUACAUGACUUGCUCAUGCCAAACUUCAAGUAGAGGACAUACACAUAACAACAAUGAAAAUUCUUGGACAAUCGACAAAGGAGGGAUUCGGAAGACAAGAUGGCAACACACACAUCGUCACAGUACUCCUUAGGAAGCCUAUCGAUGAGUCUCGUCUUUGCUCAUCAAGCACUUCCUCAAAACUGCCCAUCAAAAUUCAGAACCGAGAAAAGAACUUCAAAAAUGAGUGGUAGUUUUGAGAGCAUCGAACCUUGGAGUUGGGAGUGUUAGAUGCAAAUUGCGCAAUCCCAAGAUCUCCAUAACUAGAAUAAGAACAUGCAUAAUUUAAUAAAAAGAUUAAUGCACAUGUUUUGGGAUUCAUCGUUCUUGAAGCGGAAGUAGAAACUAAUGUUUCACGCGCAAGUCAUUUUCUUCUAUUGCCCUUCGUAUUACUGGCUCAAUGAGGCGACCCCUUCCACCUUUAGCGUUAGGUAAAUGCUCCUUAUGUGAGGAUACAUGUGUGAACUAGGGUUAGAGGAGAGAUUUGAGCACUAUUUAUAGAGUUUCCAGCCAGGCCCCCUCAUUACGGGCCAUGCUCAACUCGGCCCCACUAGCCAGUCCUAUAUUAGAUUAAUUAAGAAACCUUCUAUCUCACUUUAAAUUAAACCCUGUUUUACCAUAACCGUAAAACGGUAAAUUAUAAUAUCAAUUAAUGUAGUUCACAUUAGGAAAACUCUUACAUUCUCCCACUUGACUAUAUCAAUUGAAAUCGUACCGUAUGUGCGCACAUUGAUCCAGAUAUAAUUCUUAAUAGUCAAUCUUAUCCCAUAAAAUCUUAAACAUCGAAUCAUGGUAGUAACUGCAUGUAUACAUAUAGAGCCUUUCAUGGUCAUGCGUUCUCUCAACUUUAUUGAUAUGGAUUUAAUAUGGUAGUGUGUUAAAUAGAUAACAUCUCUCAUAGAGAGAUCCAUUUGUCAGUCACCAUUCUCUUACCUUAAGCGUCACAAAAAAACUUGUGCCACUAGAGAAUGUCUUUAUGGUUUCAAUGAACCCACAUAUGUCUUGUUUUUAUGGUUAACAUUUCUUUAUGUAUAACAAGACAUAUACACAAGGCUAAUAACUUGAUGCCCCUAGCCUUCAUUCAAGGUUUAUACAAUAGCUUGAGACUUUAUUAAUAUGUAUUCAACAUAAUAACGACAUAUUCAAAAAUAUUUUAUUGAAUGCAAAAGUUGAUACAUAUCAAAUCGUUAUAAAGUGUAACGAACACAGAUGAAACAUUUAUCAAAGUAAAGCCAAAAUAGCUCACACUAAACAAUAGCAUCUCAUGAUGCUCCUAAGCUCAUGCUAAUGACAUGUCGCUCAAAUAUACAUGGGCAUAAGCCUUUAGUUAGUGGAUCUACAACCAUAUCAUCUGUGAAAAUAUGCUAUAUUGUAACGUUACCUUUUUGUACUGUUUCUUGUGGUAAAAAAUAUUUGCUUGCCAUAUUAGACCUCUAUUAUUAAUAAUACUACAAAUUUAUUGUCUCAAUACAACCGUAUGGGUCUAUAGAUAAAGUUAAAAACGGUCAACUCCUUAAUGAAGUUUCAAAGCCUAAUAGCCCUCUCGCUGCUAGACCCGACGCCCGUGCCUGCACCUCCCGCGCCACCUUGCCGUCGCUGACCUGCAGUUCCCGACGUCGGCCACCGUCCAUCCGGCGCCCAUCAACGCUGCAGCAAGCCCCUUUUUCUUUAGGUGGUUUAGCUUUUUCUUUUAUUUAUUUUAUUCUAUUUUGUCUCAUUUUAGUUCAUCUAUUUAAGUUGUAAUAUUUGAUGUUAAUAUUUGUGAUUUUAGUAUGCAUUAUCCGUAGGGAUUUUGUCCGAAAUUAAUAUAAUUAUUAAUUUGAUCCGAGAGACAUCGGAUCAUUUUUCUAAUUAUUUUUAAUUUUUGGGCUUUUUGGUAGAAUCUCAAUUGUUAAAUCAUAAUAAUUAUUUAAUUUGGUCUGUAAGACUUCGGACUAGAUUUUUAAUUAUUUUGAGUUGUUGUGAUGAUUAGGGUUAGAAUAAUUGUUAAUUUAACCUGUGAGACGACAGGUUAUUUUUUCAAUUAUUUUGAUCCUUUAUUUAGUGAUUAUAUUAAUUGUUUAGCUUUAACCCUAAUUUAACAAUCAUUCAACCUAAAAAAAAAAACUAAAAAGAAACUAAAAAAUCAAAAAUCAAAAUAUUCAAAAAAAUUGCAUAAGCAUAUAGGACAUUAGGUUUAGUAAAUCAAGCAUGUAGGUUUAACAAAUUAGAAUUUUUUUUAGGAUUAUAUUUCUAGGAUUGCAUUUUUAGAUAAUAUUUUUAGGACUGCAUUUUUAGAUAUUUUAACAGAAAUAAGUUAGAAUUAGACUUAAAUAGCCUUUUUUAGAGUCUUAGACAUAAUUGGCACAUUUUCAUAUUCUCAUUUUUUUUUUAAAAAAAAAACAAAAAAAAUAGUUUUCUAAGACAGAAUAGGGUUUAAGUCAAAUUAAUCCAAAAAAUGGAUUAGAAAAUUACUUUAGAUAGCUCAAUUAGGGUUUUUAUUAGUUUUGAAUUUCAAUAAAAAAUAAAAAAAUCCAAAAAUCUAGGUGCAUGUUAAUUAGUUGCAUAAUAUGAUCAUUUAAUUAGAAUUUAUUAAUGAAGUUAGGUCAUAAGGUGCAUAAUAAUUAGUUUGCAUAAUAGGCCCAUUUAAUUAAAAUUUGCAUAUUAAUAAGAUUAAGUCAUUUGGUUUAAAAAUGCAUUUUCAUAAAAUCAUUCUAAUUUUUAAGAAAACUCAAAAAAAAAUGAUUGCUUGCUUUGUGUGAUGCAAUUUAUUUAUUUGAAUGUUUUAAUAAUGGAUGAGCACCCGUGUGGUCACUACAUUUGCAUGAUAGUAAUUUAGAUUAAAAUAAAUCAGCUGCUUGCAAAAACAUUUUGAAAAAUUAAAAAAGAAAUGGUACUGAAAGGGCAUUAGAAAAUUCUAAUAUAACCAAGUCCCCGUACCCUUAAUCUCUGGUUCAUAGGAGUAAAAUAAAUCUCCCUUUAUUUUACUUAGGUGUCUAAUCGACCUACCAUAAACUAAUUAGUGGCGACUCCUAGAUAAUCAUCUUUUGCAUGUUAAAAAAAAUUAAACCUUAAGUCGCGAAUUGGUAUGGGCUUGGGAGAGCUCGAACUAAGUGUAAAAACUUAGCAGUCCAUUAACCUAGUUCUAGGUGGUUCAUACACUGAAAAAUUAGGUCGCGACAGCUUGGCGACUUCGCUGGGGAAUUGUGUUAAAACACUUAGUGGACUUAGGCCAAUUUUUCUUUUUCUUUUAAAAAUGUUUUUGUUUGGCAGCGAGGAUCCCAGGUAUGUCCCUAACAUUCCUAAGAUGUUAAAUGUUCUUGCAGAUAGGAGGUAUAAGGGGAGUAGUCUUUGCUAACCCCUGUUUUGCAGGUUGGAGUUAGGGAUGAAUGUUUGAAUUAAAACUAUAGAAGUGUUGUUUGCAUUUAAACUGUUGUGCAUGCUUUAUUGCUUUAGCACUACACUAUUGCACACACAACCUGCGGUCGGACUUGGGCUGCGAUAGAACUUCUAGGAUGGUGUUGAGAAUGAUACUUCCUCUAAAGCGAGAUUGCUAUGUAGAGGUUGACCUUCUCUUCCCCGAAAUUUCUUUCAUAGUGUUGAAUGUGUUUGUCCAUAUCUGCAAGACUGCGUGAUUAUUGGGUAUUCCAUUCGGCUGAGCCGGGGUUAGGAGGACCUGACAUGUUAAUGCGAGACUGCAACAGUCAGACCAUCCUCUUAGCUCCACCUUGUUAAGCCGUCUAGAUAGAAAUCGAGCCUCACAUUUCAUGCGCAUGUCUAUGUGAUUGUCAUCCAUUUCCAGUGGAAGUAAGUUGUUUAAAUUUUUCGCAAUUUAUUUACUUUAUUGUAAUUUUGUCGGUCCAUGACAAUUAGGUUUCGUCGUCGGUCUUGUUUUAUAUGCAAUGGGGAAAACCGAUGCACAAUUCAUUUCCACUCCAAAAAAAGAGCUCAAGAGGUGGUUGGAUCAGUUGGAUCAAGAUGGUCAGAGAUAUGUGAAAGCCAGGAUCUCCAGACUUCUUCCACUGUUAGAGAUCAACGUCCACUCUAGUGUGAUUCAGGCACUCCCUCACUUCUGGUGUCCACAAACUUCCACCUUCAUAUUUGGUAAGUUUGAAUUGACUCCAACACUUGAAGAAUAUAGUGUUGCCAUCGGAAUGCCCCUGGAAAGGGAACUUGUUAGACCGCCUAUCGGUAUAGAUUCUAUUUCUGAAUUAUCACAAUUUUUACAAAUUGAAGCCGAAGGAGUAAGGAAAGUUGUCAAAGCCAAUUGUUUUGCAUAUCCAUUUUCAUUCUUAGAAAAGUGUUUUGCAAACCAACCAAUGAUUUCAAAAGCCAGGAUUUUCUUGUUAGCAUUUUUUGGGCUAAUCGUUCUUCCUUAUCGAAAAAAUGCCAUUAAUCCUUCAAUUUUAAUCCUUCAAUUUCAUGGGUGGUUAAUCGUGUUUGCGACGGGUUGAAUUAUGUCAAUAUGGUUUUAGCCGAAACAUUUUUAUCAUUAACCCGUUUCAAACAAAAUGAGGAAAAGACCAUGCGUGCCCUCCCCGAACUUUUGCAAAUAUGGUUUUUCUCCCAUAUAAGAGGAUUUGGGCACCUUAUGAAGCAAUUUAAGAUUGAUGAUUUUAGGCACCCCAUACAAAAGUUUGCGGUCUUAGAACGCUUUCCCCAAAUAAACAGUAUGCCCGUUGGAUUAAUUUUUUGAAAAAUCUUGAUCCUAAGGCAUUCUUAUGGCAUACUAAAUGGCUCCACAUUGAGGAGGCUCGUUUAUCUCACAACAUGAUGGACCAAUCCCGCUGCUGGGCCUUUCCGGUGCUACUUCCUAUUAUCCACAUAGAGUGGCCCGUCAGUACAAAGCUCUUCAAGAAAUUCCCCCACCUCUCAAGACAGAUUUGUUCCAAGUUCGUUUCAUUCGAAAGGAUUACGACUACUUCAACGAGAUACAGAUGAUCAUUACUACGUGGAGCGAAUGUCAUCCAGAAAAGAUUUUGGUGCCCAUGAGACUGAAGGGCGAGGAGGAGAUUCACAAUGCAUCGGCGUUCUACAUCCAACAACAUCGGAUCCCUGCCGCCUUGCGUCCAGUAGUCCCUGAUGUGACUGAGAAGCCAACCCAACGAGCACAAAUUGAGCAUCUUAAGCGGAAAGUGGAAAUGAUUGAAGCGGAAAAUGAGAAGCUUCGCAAGGCGUUGAAAUCCCGAAAGCAUAUAAAAUGAGAUGUCUUGAAUUUUGAUUCAAUGUUUAGGGACUUUGAUUUCUAGUUCAGUGUUUUCAAUUUUUAGAUUCAAUGUUUAGGGAUUUUGGAUUUCAAUUCUUAGUUCAUUGUUAGGAAACUUGGUUAAAAUUUCAAAUAAAAUCAGGCGAUUAGACCAUUGUCAUGGGCCAUUUUUCCUAUCUUGUCAUUGGCUAUUACAUUACUUUUACCCAAUUAGGUGAUAACGGAUCCUCCGCGUUCGCCCAUCAUUACAUGAUCAAGGGCUAAAAUGGCUGACCAAAAUGGAAUGCGUGAUCGUAUGUCAGCUCUGGAGACUCAACUCCAACAAGUACUUGCCUCUUUACAACUUGUGACGGAUCAACUCCAAUUCCUCCAAGCGAAUCCAACAGCUGCACCUGCUCUUCCUGAAGUAGUUAUCCCGAAGCAAGCAAACAAGGUUCAAACGAUUGACGACGACAUGCCCGGGCUGGAAGAUGACCCAGUCAUUGUUGGAAAGGCCAAGCUUGAUGGCGUUCCCAAGACAGAUCAGGAUGAGCGUGUUGCGAAGCUGGAGGAGAAAAUGAGACAGCUGCAGGAGUCACAAAGGUCCCUCCCGUUCGACCUCUCGGUCUAUGAGAAGGUCAAAAUGCCGAGCAAGUUCAAAAUGCCAGAGUUUGAGAAGUAUGAUGGCACAUCUUGCCCAAAAUCUCAUCUGCAGAUGUACCACGUGCGCAUGGCCCAGCACGUCAAAAACGAGCCCCUCAUGAUCCAAUCAUUCCAUGCGAGUUUGACUGGACCCACACUAAACUGGUACGUGAUGAAGAAUGUGAACCUGCUCGACACUUGGAACGAAGUAGCUGACGCUUUCCUCAAACGGUACAAGUUCAACAUGGACAUUGCACCUUCCCGAGAAGACUUGGAGCGGAUGGAAAAGAAAAGGAGCGAGUCAUUUAAAGAAUAUGCUGUAAGAUGGAGAAACCUGGCGGCUCAAAUCACUCCUGAGCCUACCAACAAGGAGCUGAUGAAGUUGUUUGUGAAGACCCUUCCAUCUGAGUUUCGUAACCGAAUGGCUAGUACGUACGUCGAAAGCUUCAAUCAGCUUAUUCCUGUAGGAGAACAAAUUGAGAUGGGGAUAAGAGAAGGAUGGUUUACUGAGUCAUCUAGUAAAAGAUUCACUGCCAAGAAGGAGAAGGAAAUGGCUGUGGAUGUGAAUGUGGCUUAUAGCCAAGAAAAUGUCAAACGUGCCUCGGCCAUCCAAAUGAAUCCAAGACAACCACAAACCACUGGCCGCCAAUCAUUUGCCCAAGCAAAUAAUAGAAGGCAAUUUUCUCCUCUCCCUGGGUCUCCAUCCCAAGUGCUGACGAUCCUCCGAAAGAAAGGUUUGCUUCCUAAUGAACCAAAGCGUCCCAAUUGCGAAAGCAUUCGCGGUUAUGACCCGGCAAAGAAGUGUGACUACCAUAACGGUGAAUUGGGGCAUUCAACUGAUGAAUGUUUCACCCUCAAGCACAAGAUCCAAAAUCUUUGGACACAAAGGGCUUCUCAUUUCAACUGCUCGGCCAAAUGUCCAGAAGAAUCCGCUACCGGAGCAUGAGGGAACAGUGAAUGCUAUCCUAGAACAUGAAGUUGGACGGAUCAAGAACUCGAAGGUGAAUGUGGCAGAUGCCUACAAUGGACUGGUGAGAGCUGGUUAUUAUCCAGAUCAAGAGGAUGUUCCUUUAUCAUUGAUGAAGGAAAGAAUUGCCAAAAUGGUGGAUGACGGCAUCAUCGUAUAUGCUGACCAUAACUGCGUAGUUUCCACCAUUUCCCACAUCAUCAUCGAUUGGAAGGAGGAGCAGGCUGCUCUCGAUGAUGGUAAAGAAGAAGUAGAUCCGUCACUCGCAGAUAUGCCCCCACUAGAAGAUGCAACUGAUGAGGAGGUUGUGAUUGAAAUACCUCAGCCGUAUGAGUAUGUUAAUAAUAAAGCAGUGCCUUGGUCUUAUGACCUAGAUGUUGACCUCGUUACAAGGUCUGGUCGAACUCAUGCUCAAAAUAAUGCUCAACCUGCAAAGCCCGUCACUAACGAAGAGGCUAAGGAAUUUCUGGCUGUGAUUAAAGCAAGUGAGUUUAAUAUCGUCGAUCAAUUGCGAAAGAUGCCUGCCCAGAUCUCUUUGCUCGAGCUCAUCCAAACCUCCUCUGUGCAUCAAAAGUCGCUGAUGAAGGUGCUAAGCGAAAUUCGUGUACCCGAAACAGUUGAAGCAGAUAAGUUGGAGGAUUUUGUAGGAUCAGUCCUUCUCAAGGACAUGAUUGCUUUUUCUGAUGAGGAAUUCCCUCUUGAGGGUAGGGGGCAUAAUAAAGCACUCUACAUAUCUGUCAAGCACAAGGUUUCUCAUGUGUCCCGAGUGCUCAUUGAUAAUGGGUCUGCCCUAAACAUAUGUCCAUUGGCCACUCUUCACCGCCUCAAGGUAGACCCGUCAAAGAUACAUGCUGCGAAGACUUUGGUGAGAGCUUUUGAUGGAACAAAAAAGGAGGUAAUCGGGGAAAUCCAUCUUGACGUGCAAAUAGGGCCGGUCGUCUUCAACAUUCCCUUCCAGGUGCUGGAUAUCCCUACCGCAUUCAAUUUUCUACUAGGUCGUCCAUGGAUACACACUGCUGGAGCAGUCCCUUCAAGUCUACAUCAAGCUGUGAAAUUUGUGAUCGAAAGGAAGCUGGUCACUGUGUAUGGUGAAGAGGACCAUCGGAUUUAUCACGAGACGGCUAUCCCCUAUGUAGAGCCGGAUUCUGAGCUUGAAUCAAGUUACCACUCAUUUGAGUUAGUGUUUACCAUACAUGCUUCUCAAGGUUCAUCGCCACCCACUCCUGAGGUUUCAGAUGCCGCCCUCAUGGUAGGAAGAGUAAUGGUUGGGAAUGGUUUUGUCCCUGGCAAUGGUUUGGGAAGAAAUGAUCAGGGCAUUUGAAACCCCAUUGAAGCCCCUCAGAGGUCCCGAUCUGCUGGGAUAGGGUACCAUGGAAGAGGUGGAGGAAGUUCUGGAAGGCAAAGACAGGGAAGGCAUAACUCGCCACCUGAGCAAGGGCGAAGGAGGCAAAAUUUACUACCUCCAAACAUUCAUGAGACAUUCCAUGGUCCUCCAAUUAUGAUGCAACAUGAAGCUAAAGUAAUGGAUACUCUCGGACAGCCAAGUGGGAAGUUCGACUAUAUGGUGAAGUAUUCGGCUCCUCCCAGCUUUUACUUUGAUGCCCGCAAUAUAGUUCCAAGUGGAUGGGAUGGCAUCGAUGAUCCGACGCCUUCAAAGACAGAAAACUCUGAUGACACCCUGGAAGGAAUUUCAAGUUUGUUCGAUGAUCUCUCCAUCGGAGCCAUUGAUGGAGAAACUCUGGAGGAAACGGGCCCUCGCCCACAAGAGUAACCCAUUUAUCACUUUUGCACAUUCCCCUGCGUGGGAAUUUUUAUUGCUUUCUAGGAAUUGUUUUCGAUUUCUUCUUUUUCACUUUCUUUUUAGGACUUGAAUUGCAUUUUCCAUUCAAUAAAUUGUAAUUGAUUGAUGAAUCUCAAUGAAAUUACAAGUUUUAUUUUGAGGGCAUGAUGAGGUACACCAAACCAGCCCGGUGAUGAUAUCCAGCCGAUAAAACAAAAUUAAAAUCCAAGGAGAAUUCUGAGGCCUGGGCUUCAUCAUGCUUCCUCGUGUCAAAAUGUUUAAAAAAAAAUGCUUUUGCAAGAAAAAAAAUUUCAAAAAAAUUUACAAAAAAAAUAAAAUAUGAUUAACCCUGUUUGUCUUUUUGAUCCUUCUAUUUCAUGUUUCAGGGACGAUCAUAUAACAUGCAAAGGUAUGGAAAUGGUCCAAUCCAAUGCAACAAGUGCUGAUAAUGAUCCUGGAGAGUCGAUCAAGGAUUCCAUUGAAGAUUCCAUUGAGGUGCAGCAAAGCUGGGAAAAACAUGAAAAAGCCAAGACUCUCACAUCCGAGUAGACCGUCACUAUUAAUUUAAGUGACAUUGAAGAAGCCAAGGAGGUGAAAAUAGGGGCGAAUCUCCCCAAAGACGAGGCUGAGUGCCUAAUUCAGUUACUGAAGGAAUAUCAGGACAUCUUCGCAUGGACCUACGCCGACAUGCCUGGGUUAGACCAAUCAAUCGUGGAGCAUUGUUUGCCUACUAACCCGGACGUGCCUCCUAAGAAGCAAAGGUUGCGAAAAACUAAGCCUGAGCUCUCGAAGAAGAUAGAGGAAGAGGUGAUGAAGCUUCUAAAAGUCGGAUUUAUUGAAGUCUCGCAAUACCCUGAAUGGGUAGCAAACAUCGUGCCGGUGAUGAAGAAGGAUGGUCGAGUUCGAGUUUGUGUCGAUUAUCGGGAUUUGAAUAAGGCUAGCCCAAAAGAUGACUUCCCGCUACCUCACAUAGAUGUCCUUGUUGAUAGUACUGCCGGAUUUGAACUAUUCUCAUUUAUGGAUGGUUUUUCUGGAUACAAUCAGAUAAAGAUGAAGGAGGAAGACAAAGAGAAAACUGCAUUUAUCACUCUGUGGGGAACCUUUCAUUAUAAGGCCAUGCCCUUUGGACUCAAGAAUGCAGGGGCAACUUACCAGCGAGCUAUGGUAGCACUAUUUCAUGACAUGAUGCAUCAAGAGAUCGAGAUCUAUGUUGAUGAUAUGAUCGCUAAAACUCGACCUGGGAAAAGCCACGUCGAAACCUUGAAGAAAACCUUGAAGAAAUUGUUUGAUCGACUUCGUGAGUUCAAGCUUCGUCUAAACCCCACUAAAUGCGUGUUUGGAGCAACAUCUGGUAAAUUACUUGGGUUCAUUGUGAGCAGUAAAGGGAUUGAGAUUGACCCGGCUAAAGCUAAGGCCAUAUGUGAGUUGCAACCUCCAUCAACAGUGAAAGAAGUCCGGAGUCUUUUGGGGAGGUUGAAUUACAUCGCUCGAUUCAUUUCCCAACUUUCUGAAACCGCUAAGCCAUUCUUUAAGCUCUUAAAGAAGAAUGCACAAGUCAACUGGGAUGAUGAGUGUCGAAAAGCAUUUGACAAGUUGAAACAGUACUUGAUGAAUCCACCAGUUCUUGUCCCACCAUCGCCAGGGUAUCCUUUGAUUCUUUACCUCACCAUUCAUGGUGAGUCAUUGGGUGCGAUGUUGGCUCAGGAAAGUCCCGUCGAUAAAAAAGAACGAGCCGUUUAUUACUUGAGUAAAAAAUUCACUGUGUCAGAGCUAAAAUAUUCUAAUGUGGAAAAGACUUGUGCUGCAUUAGUGUGGGUAUUGCAUAGAUUGAGACAGUACACACUACAUUACCAGACAUUCCUCGUAACUGAGAACGAUCCUAUCAAGUAUUUACUGAACCGGCCAGCUUUGGUGGGUAAGUUGGCUAAAUGGCAAAUUUUGAUCUCGGAAUUUGAUGUGCAAUUCAUGCCACAAAAGUCGGUUAAGGGUUGAGUAAUUGCCGAUCUAUUGGCUGAGAAUCCAGAAGCCUCAAAUAAUGACGAUCGUUCUUUGGAUGACUGCAUCUUGAGUGUAAAUGAAGAUUCAUGGACAAUGUUCUUUGAUGGAGCUGUGAACUUGUCUGGUUCAGGUACUGGGACAGUUUUGAUAUCCCCAGACGGACAGCAUCACCCAGUAGCUGCGAAAUUGAUAUUCCCAUGCACUAACAAUAUAGCCGAGUAUGAAGCUUGCAUCCUUGGGCUUCAAGCUGCAAUUGAGAUGGGUGUAGCCAAAUUAAAAGUGUUCGGAGAUUCCGCACUGAUCAUACUACAGACCGUAGUGAAUGGAGACUAAGAUGCUAAAUUGCUCCCAUAUCACNNNNNNNNNNNNNNNNNNNNNNNNNNNNNNNNNNNNNNNNNNNNNNNNNNNNNNNNNNNNNNNNNNNNNNNNNNNNNNNNNNNNNNNNNNNNNNNNNNNNNNNNNNNNNNNNNNNNNNNNNNNNNNNNNNNNNNNNNNNNNNNNNNNNNNNNNNNNNNNNNNNNNNNNNNNNNNNNNNNNNNNNNNNNNNNNNNNNNNNNNNNNNNNNNNNNNNNNNNNNNNNNNNNNNNNNNNNNNNNNNNNNNNNNNNNNNNNNNNNNNNNNNNNNNNNNNNNNNNNNNNNNNNNNNNNNNNNNNNNNNNNNNNNNNNNNNNNNNNNNNNNNNNNNNNNNNNNNNNNNNNNNNNNNNNNNNNNNNNNNNNNNNNNNNNNNNNNNNNNNNNNNNNNNNNNNNNNNNNNNNNNNNNNNNNNNNNNNNNNNNNNNNNNNNNNNNNNNNNNNNNNNNNNNNNNNNNNNNNNNNNNNNNNNNNNNNNNNNNNNNNNNNNNNNNNNNNNNNNNNNNNNNNNNNNNNNNNNNNNNNNNNNNNNNNNNNNNNNNNNNNNNNNNNNNNNNNNNNNNNNNNNNNNNNNNNNNNNNNNNNNNNNNNNNNNNNNNNNNNNNNNNNNNNNNNNNNNNNNNNNNNNNNNNNNNNNNNNNNNNNNNNNNNNNNNNNNNNNNNNNNNNNNNNNNNNNNNNNNNNNNNNNNNNNNNNNNNNNNNNNNNNNNNNNNNNNNNNNNNNNNNNNNNNNNNNNNNNNNNNNNNNNNNNNNNNNNNNNNNNNNNNNNNNNNNNNNNNNNNNNNNNNNNNNNNNCUGACAACGGGACAAAUUGAACAACAAGCUUGUGAUGAGUUGUUUAGCGAGCUCAAGAUCAAGCAUUGAAUUCAUCCCUUAUCGCCCUCAAAUGAAUAGGGCUAUUGAAGCGGCCAAUAAGAAUAUUAAGAAGAUCUUAGCUAAGACAGCCGAGAAUUAUCGAGACUGGCAUGACAGAUUACCCUUCGCACUGAUGGCGUAUCGGACAUCGAUUCGUACUUCUACCGGGGCAACUCCUUUUGCUCUGGUAUACGGCAUGGAGGCAGUUUUGCCUGUGGAAGUGGAGAUUCCUUCCCUGCGAGUAUUAUCCCAAGUGGAAUUAUCUGAGGCAGAAUGGUCGCAACAAAGACUUGAACAGUUGAACUUGAUCGAUGAGAAAAGACUGAAGGCUCUCUGCCAUGGCCAAGCAUAUCAACAGAGAGUAGCCAGAUCUUUCAACCGAAAGGUGCGGCUGAGACAUUUCGAGGUAAAUGAUCUUGUUUUAAGGAAGCUGUUGCCAAUUUUUCCAGAUCCUGGGGGGAAGUUUGCUCCAAACUACAGUGGCCCAUAUGUGGUAAAGAAGGUACUUCAUGGUGGUGCUUUGAUCUUGGCAGAGAUGGAUGGUCGUGUGUUUUCCACUCCAGUUAAUUCAGAUGCUGUCAAGAAGUAUUACCCGUGAUAGAAUUUGCCAUGUCAUGUCUUGGAAUUGCAAACAUUUUAUGAUGAAUAAAUUCCCUCAUUGAAUUGAAUUGUUCAGAUUUGUCGCAAAUAUUGCAUUUUUCUUUCUUGAUGAAUUAUGUGAGAUGAAUUGAAUGUGUGAAAUGGGAUACUUUGGAAUGAUGAAAGGCAAACCCUAUUCCAUACACUGACCCCCCAGUGAGUUGUGUGAAAAAUUCCAUGCCUACGAGAAAAAGGGUGAUCUCGCAAAGGGUACGUCAACCAAGAUGAUGAGAGGCAGCUUCUUCUGCUACCCGAAACACUACAGGUAUAUCCAUUGUUCAGCCUUUUGAGCCCACACACAUGAAGAGCUUUUUAAAUCAUCCCUGUCAAGAAUCGUCUCAUACUGGGACAAGAUUUAAAAUGAAUGAUAGGAAUUUUCUUACUCACACUUGCAUCAAUCUUCGAGUAUUGCUUUUACGGUAUUACUUGUACGAUAAUUUAAAGUGCCUUAGGACGACGAAGAUCAAUUCUUUCUCUAUCCACACUUUAUCCAUUGCAUAGCCCCCUUGAGCCUAUGAAUUCAUUUCACAUUAAACCCAGUUGGUGAUCAUCCCCCUCACUGGGGCAAGGCAAGAAAAAACCAAACCACUCUAGUAGCAUGAUUUACAAUGCUGAUAUAAAUGAAGAUUUUGUCAAAAAAAAAGAAGUAAAAAAAAUGGGGCAUGAAAAAGCAGUGUGCUUGGUAAAAACAAGGCCAAUGCCCAAAGAAAAAAAAAAUCAAAUACUUGAUGAAGUGAGUCGUAUCUCCAACAAGGUGGUACCAAAAAAAAAAAAAAACUCAAAUGUUGAGAUGUUGCAAUCAGUGGAGUUGUGAAGUGAAGAAAAUCUUCGACGANNNNNNNNNNNNNNNNNNNNNNNNNNNNNNNNNNNNNNNNNNNNNNNNNNNNNNNNNNNNNNNNNNNNNNNNNNNNNNNNNNNNNNNNNNNNNNNNNNNNGUCAUUUUUGUAUUUAAGAUAGAUAAAUCCUUUCUUUGUACAAGACUUAGACAAUAAAUGACCAAAGUACGAGUACAUUGUACCAUAGCAGAACCCUUCCGGGGGCCGUUGUUACCAUAUUACUGUAUAAAAUAAACUCAAUAAUCACUCUUAUUUCGGUAAAGAUGGCUCUUAUCUCUUGGUGUAUUCCUUAUUUGAGACGCAGAUCGUUUGAAAUUUCAAGGAUAUACUUGCUCUUCCUCCA
rnacentral:lncRNA from 1 species